rfam:Musa acuminata subsp. malaccensis Doubled-haploid Pahang (DH-Pahang) genomic chromosome, chr7
GGGACAAGAGUCCCUCUGAUUAGCCAAGGAGACUGCCCAGUGACCCACAUGGAGCUUCUGAAACCCUCAUGCAGCCACCAGGACCUCCAUGAGGACACAGGCAAGUCAUCCUUGGCUACCAAAGACAGACUCUCAUCU